rnacentral:rRNA from 1 species
UACGGAGGGGGUUAGCGUUGUCCGGAAUUAUUGGGCGUAAAGAGCUCGUAGGCGGUCUGUCGCGUCUGCUGUGAAAACUCAGGGCUUAACCCUGAGCUUGCAGUGGGGUACGGGCAGACUAGAGUGCGGUAGGGGAGACUGGAAUUCCUGGUGUAGCGGUGAAAUGCGCAGAUAUCAGGAGGAACACCGGUGGCGAAGGCGGGGUCUCUGGGCCGUAACUGACG